rnacentral:tRNA from 1 species
UAAAAAAUAGGACUUGAACCUAAACUUGAGAGAUCAAAACCCCCCGUGCACCCAUUACACCACUUUUUA